rnacentral:rRNA from 1 species
UACGUAGGUGGCGAGCGUUGUCCGGAUUUACUGGGCGUAAAGGGAGCGUAGGCGGACUUUUAAGUGAGAUGUGAAAUACUCGGGCUCAACCCGAGGGCUGCAUUUCAAACUGGGAGUCUAGAGUGCAGGAGAGGAGAAUGGAAUUCCUAGUGUAGCGGUGAAAUGCGUAGAGAUUAGGAAGAACACCAGUGGCGAAGGCGAUUCUCUGGACUGCAACUGACGCUGAGGCGCGAAAGUGUGGGGAGCAAACAGGAUUAGAUA